AAUGUUCUAAGUCACCGGCUCUGGAGUUUCUUUGCACUUUGGAACCAACUUGCGGGAAGGAACUUUAAAAAUACUGAUGUCUCCAUCCAUCCCCAGAGGUUCUGAUUUAAUGGUCUUGGGGGUAUGGCCACGGCAUGAGGACUCUUAAAACUCUGCAGGUGAUUCUUAUGUGCAACAAAGUUUAAGAACCACUGAUGUAGGCCAUGUCGAUGUCAGUCUUCACUUAAAUCCAACAAGACCCCAGAGCUAAAACGUUCACCUGAAAGAAACUCCAUUCCCAGGCCUGCAUACUGACCUGCCCUGGCUCACAAGAAGCAAAGUGGUCCCUUAACAGGGGCUUCCUGGAGAAAAUGUCUUGACCUAAAAGAGUGAUUCGAGCUGCAGGGAUUUAAGAGAGACAGGGCCUUGCUCUAUCACCCAGGCUGAAAUGCAACGUUGCAAUCAUGGCUUGCUGUAGCCUCAAGCUCCUGGAC
rnacentral:antisense_RNA from 1 species